UGCGUAGGCGGUGCGGUAAGUUGGGUGUGAAAUCCCUCGGCUCAACCGAGGAACUGCGCUCAAUACUGCCGUACUUGAGGGAGACAGAGGUAAGCGGAACUGAUGGUGGAGCGGUGAAAUGCGUUGAUAUCAUCAGGAACACCAGUAGCGAAGGCGGCUUACUGGGUCUCUUCUGACGCUGAGGCACGAAAGCUAGGGUAGCGAACG
rnacentral:rRNA from 1 species